GACGAACGCUGGCGGCGUGCUUAACACAUGCAAGUCGUACGGUAAGGCCCUUUCGGCGGUCCACGAGCGGCGAACGGGUGAGUAACACGUGAGUAACCUGCCCACAACUUUGGGAUAACGCUAGGAAACUGGUGCUAAUACUGGAUAUGUGCUCCUGCUGCAUGGUGGGGGUUGGAAAGCUCCGGCGGUUGUGGAUGGACUCGCGGCCUAUCAGCUUGUUGGUGGGGUAGUGGCCUACCAAGGCGGCGACGGGUAGCCGGCCUGAGAGGGUGACCGGCCACAUUGGGACUGAGAUACGGCCCAGACUCCUACGGGAGGCAGCAGUGGGGAAUAUUGCACAAUGGGCGCAAGCCUGAUGCAGCAACGCCGCGUGCGGGAUGACGGCCUUCGGGUUGUAAACCGCUUUCAGCAGGGACGAAGCUUUUUGUGACGGUACCUGCAGAAGAAGCACCGGCUAACUACGUG
rnacentral:rRNA from 1 species